AAGCGUACUGCUGGAAAGAAGUGAUACGCAGAAAAAGAUAACGCUAUAGCAGCAACAGAAAUAAAAAAGGAGCUGAGCUACUAAAGUGGUUCAGCUCCUUUUUUAUUUCUGUUGCUGCC
rnacentral:snoRNA from 1 species